ensembl:snRNA U2 U2 spliceosomal RNA
AUCACUUCUUGGCCUUUUGGCUAAGAUCAAGUGUAGUAUCUGGUACCUAUGGACCUCUUUAAUUCAAACUAGGGUAAUAUGGACUGGUAAAUAAAAAUGACCCAGCUGAAGACACUCU